rnacentral:rRNA from 2 species
CUUGAUUUAAUUUUGAACGAGUGGCGGACGGGUGAGUAACACGUGGGUAACCUGCCCUUAAGUGGGGGAUAACAUUUGGAAACAGAUGCUAAUACCGCAUAAAUCCAAGAACCGCAUGGUUCUUGGCUGAAAGAUGGCGUAAGCUAUCGCUUUUGGAUGGACCCGCGGCGUAUUAGCUAGUUGGUGAGGUAACGGCUCACCAAGGCAAUGAUACGUAGCCGAACUGAGAGGUUGAUCGGCCACAUUGGGACUGAGACACGGCCCAAACUCCUACGGGAGGCAGCAGUAGGGAAUCUUCCACAAUGGACGCAAGUCUGAUGGAGCAACGCCGCGUGAGUGAAGAAGGCUUUCGGGUCGUAAACUCUGUUGUUGGAGAAGAAUGGUCGGCAGAGUAACUGUUGUCGGCGUGACGGUAUCCAACCAGAAAGCCACGGCUAACUACGUGCCAGCAGCCGCGGUAAUACG